CCAAUUUCACAACCUUCAACCCUUGUUUAGAAAUACAUCUUCCUCAAUUCCUCAAUUCGGAGUUUAGAUGUCACUGCUCUUUGUAUAUUUAAUCAGAGUAUUUACCCAGAAAUCCUAAAAUGAUUAGACCAAUAAAAGCCCUUUUAAAUAAUGAAAUGAAACAAUUAAUGAAUCAGGACAGGCCGAGCAAUGUCUUUGUAGAAAGAACAAGAAGAAAAAUUCAUUAUGCAACUAAUCCUUAGUUGAGGGAUUCUGAUGAACUGGGAGGGGGUGGGUAGUAGGUGUGCGAUGGAGAUGGACUAGGGUGGGGAGUUUGUUUUCAUUUCUAUCUUUUAGUUUUAAAUAAUCUUUUUUAUUUUAAUAUUUUGAAACAUUUAAGUAGAAAUUAUAUUUACGUUUAACAAAUGGCAAGUCUUGAAUGGGAGUUA
rnacentral:lncRNA from 1 species